CGGACUCGGAAUGGUGCGAGACUUUGCGAUGUGAAUCCGUGUGCCAAAAAUAGGCCACGGGCACAGCCGCAGCCAAAAAUAACCGCCCGAAGGCCGGAGCGCCAAGUUCGUCCAGCGGAAAAAGGCCACAAAAACGGGUGGGCUAGAGCCUUGGGGGGUGGGGCUGGCCAACAUCGUCCGCCGGACUCGGAAUGGCGCGAGACUUUGCGAUGCGCCUCCGUGAGCCAAAAAUAGGCCGCGGACUCACCCGCAGCCAAAAAUAACAGCCAGAAGGCCGGGGCGCCAUGUUCGUCCAGCGGAAAAAAGGCCACAAAAACGGGUGGGCUAUAGCCUUGGGGGGUGGGGCUGGCCAACUUCGUCCGCCGGACUUGGAAUGGCGCGAGACUUUGCGAGGUGCCUCCGUGUGCCAAAAAGUGGCCGCGGGCACAGCCGCGGCCAAAAAUAACAGCCCGAAGACCGGGGCGCCAAGUUCGUCCAGCGGAAAAAGGCCACAAAAACGGGUGGGCUAUAGCCUUGGGGGGUGGGGCUGGCCAACUUCGUCCGUCAGACUCGGAAUGGCGUGAGACUUUGUGAGGCACCUCAGUGAGCCAAAAAUAGGCAGCGCGCACAGCCGCGUCCAAAAAUAACCGCCCGAAGGCCGGGACGCCAAGUUCGUCCAGCGGAAAAAGGCCAGAAAAACGGGUGGGCUACAGCCUUGGGGGGUGGGGCUGGCCAACUUUGUCCGCCGGAGUUGGAAUGGUGCGAGACUUUGUGAGGCGCCUCCGUGUGCCAAAAAUAGGCCGCGGGCACAGACGCGCCCAAAAAUAACAGCCCGAAGACCGGGGCGCCAAGUUCGUCCAGCGGAAAAAGCCCACAAAAACGGGUGGGCUAUAGCAUUGGGGGGUGGGGCUGGCCAACUUCGUCCGCCGGACUCGGAAUGGUGCGAGACUUUGCGAGGCGCCUCCGUGUGCCAAAAAUAGGCCGCGGGCACAGCCGCGCCCAAAAAUAACCGCCCGAAGGCCGGGCCGCCAAGUUCGUCCAGCGGAAAAAUGCCACAAAAACGGGUGGGCUAUAGCCUUGGGGGGUGGGGCUGGCCAACUUCGUCCGCCGGACCCGCAAUGGCGCGAGACUUUGGGAGGCGCCUCCGUGUGCCAAAAAUAGGCCGCGGGCACAGCCGUGCCCAAAAAUAACCGCCCGAAGGCCGGGGCGCCAAGUUCGUCCAGCGGAAAAAUGCUACAAAAACGGGUGGUUUAUAGCCUUGGGGGGUGCGGCUGGCCAACUUUGUCAGCCGGACUCGGAAUGGCGUGAGACUUUGCGCGGCACCUCCGUGUGCCAAAAAUAGGCCGCGGGCACAGCACCGCCCAAAAAUACCUGCCCGAAGGGCGGGGCGCUACGUUCGACCAGCGGAAAAAGGCCACAAAAACGGGUGGGCUAUAGCCGUGGGGGGUGGGGCUGGCCAACUUCGUCCGCCGGACACGGAAUGGCGCGAGACUUUGCGAGGCACCUCCAUGUGAUAAAAGUUGGCCGCAGGCACAGCCGCGGACAAAAAUAACCGCCCGAAGGCCGGAGCACCAAGUUCGUCCAGCGGAAAAAUUCCACAAAAACGGGUGGGCUAUAGCAUUGGGGGGUGGGGCUGGCCAACUUCGUCCGCCGGACUCGGAAUGGCGCGAGACUUUGCGAGGCGCCUCCGUGUGCCAAAAAUAGGCCGCGGCCACAGCCGCGCCCAAAAAUAACUGCCCGAAGGCCGGGGCGGCAAGUUCAUCCAGCGGAAAAAUGCCACAAAAAUGGGUCGGCUAUAGCCUUAGGGGGUGGGGCUGGCCAACAUCGUCCGCCGGACUCGGAAUGGCGCGAGACUUUAGAGGCGCCUCCCUGUGCCAAAAAUUGGCCGCGGGCGCAGCCGUAGCCAAAAAUAACCGCCCGAAGGCUGGGCUGCCAAGUUCAUCCAGCGGAAAAAGGCCACAAAAACGGGUGGGCUAUAGCCUUGGGGGGUGCGGCUGGCCAACUUCGUCCGCCGGACUCGGAAUGGCGCGAGACUUUUCGAGGCUCCUCCGUGUGCCAAAAAUAGGCUGCGAGCACAGCCGUGCCCAAAAAUAACUGCCCGAAGGCCGGGGCGCCACGUUCGACCAGCGGAAAAAGGCCACAAAAACGGGUGGGCUAUAGCCUUGCGGGGUGGGGCUGGCCAACUUCGUCCGCCGGACACGGAAUGGCGCGAGACUUUGCGAGGCGCCUCCGUGUGCCAAAAAUAGGCCGCGGGCACAGCCGCGCACAAAAAUAACCGCCCGAAGGCCGGAGCGCCAAGUUCGUCCCGCGGAAAAAUGCCACAAAAACGGGUGGUCUAUAGCCUUGGGGGGUGGGGCUGGCCAACUUCGUCCGCCGGACUCGCAAUGGCGCGAGACUUUGCGAGGCGCCUACGUGUGCCAAAAAUAGGCCGCGGGCACAGCCGCACCCAAAAAUAACCGUCCGAAGGCCGGGGCGCCAAGUACGUCCAGCGGAAAAAUGCCACAAAAAUGGGUGGGCUAUAGCCUUUGGGGGUGGGGCUGGCCAACUUCGUCCGCUGGACUCGGAAUGGCUCGAGACUUUGUGAGGCGCCUCGGUGUGCCAAAAAGUGGCCGCGGGCACAGCCACACCCAAAAAAACCGCCCGAAGGCCGGGGCGCCAAGUUCGUCCAGCGGAAAAAGCCCACAAAAACGGGUGGGCUAUAUAGCCUUUGGGGGUGGGGCUGGCCAACUUCGUCCGCCGGACUCGGAAUGGCGGGAGACAUUGCGAAGCGCCUCCGUGAGCCCAAAAUAGGCCGCGGGCACAGCCGCGCCCAAAAAUAGCCGCCCGAAGGCCUGGGCGCCAAGUUCGUCCAGCGGAAAAAUGCCACAAAAACGGGUGGGCUAUAGCCUUAGGGGGUGGGGCUGGCCAACAUCGUCCGCCGGACUCGGAAUGGCGCGAGACUUUACGAGGCGCCUCCGUGUGCCAAAAAUUGGCCGCGGGCACAGCCGCGCCCAAAAAUAACCGCCCGAAGGCCGGGGCGCCAAGUUCGUCCAGCGGAAAAAGGCCACAAAAACGGGUGGGCUAUAGCCUUGGGGGGUGGGGCUGGCCGACUUCGUCCGCCGGACUCGGAAUGGCACGAGACUUUACGAGGCGCCUCCGUGAGCCAAAAAUAGGCCGUGGGCGCAGCCUCGCCCAAAAAUAACUGCCCAAUGGCCGGGGCGCCCAGUUCGUCCAGCGGAAAAAGCCCACAAAAACGGGUGGCCUAUAGCCUUGGGGGGUGGGGCUGGCCAACUUCGUCCGCCGGGCACGGAAUGGUGUGAGACUUUGCGAGGCGCCUCCGUGUGCCAAAAAGUGGCCGUGGGCACAGCCGCGCCCAAAAAUAACCGCCCGAAGGCCGGGGCGCCAAGUUCGUCCUGCGUGAAAAAGCCCACAAAAACGGGUGGGCUAUAGCCUUCGGGGGUGGGGCUGGCCAAAAUCGUUCGCCGGACUCAGAAUGGCGCGAGACUUUGCGAGGCGCCUCCGUGUGCUAAAAAGUGGCCGUGGGCACAGCCGCGCCCAAAAAUAACCGCCCGAAGGCCGGGGCGCCAAGUUCGUCCUGCGGAAAAAGCCCACAAAAACGGGUGGGCUAUAGCCUUGUGGGGUGGGGCUGGCCAACUUCGUCCGCUGGUCUGGAAAUGGCGCGAGACUUUGCGAGGCGCCUCCGUGUGCCUAAAAUAGGCCGCGGGCACAGACGUGCUGAAAAAUAACUGCCCGAAGGCCGGGGCGCGAAGUUCGUCCAGCGGAAAAAGGCCACCAAAACGGGUGGGCUAUAGCCUUGGGGUGUGGGGCUGGCCAAUUUCGUCCGCCGGACUCGGAAUGGCGCGAGAGUUUGCGAGGCACCUCCGUGUGCCAAAAAUAGGGCGCGGGCACAGCCGCACCCAAAAAUAACCGCCCGAUGGCCGGGGCGCCACGUUCGUCCAGCGGAAAAAGGCCACAAAAACGGGUGGGCUAUGGCCAUGGGAGGUGGGGCUGGCCAACUUCUUCCGCCGGACUCGGAAUGGCGCGAGACUUUACGAGGCGCCUCCGUGAGCCAAAAAUAGGCCGUGGGCGCAGCCGCGCCUAACAAUAACCACCCGAAGGCCGGGGCGCCAAGUUCGUCCAGCGGAAAAAGCCCACAAAAACGGGUGGGCUAUAUCCUUGGGAGGUGGGGCUGAUCAACUUCGUCCGCCGGACUCGGAAUGGCACGAGACUUUGCGAGCCACCUCCGUGUGCCAAAAUAGGCCGCGGCCACAGCCGCGCCCAAAAAUAACAGCCCGAUGGCCGGGGUGACACGUUCUUCCAGCGGAAAAAGGCCACAAAAACGGGUGGGCUAUAGCCUUGGGGGGUGGAGCUGGCCAACUUCGUCCGCCGGGCACGGAAUGGUGCGAGACUUUGCGAGGCGCCUCCGUGGGCCAAAAAUAGGCCACAGGCACAGCCGCUCCCAAAAAUAACCGCCCGAAGGCCGGGGCGCCAAGUUCGUCCAGCGGAAAAAUGCCACAAAAACGGGUGGCCUAUAGCCUUGGGGGGUGGGGCUGGCUAACUACGUCCGCCGGACUCAGAAUGGCGCGAGACUUUGCGAGGCACCUCCGUGUGCCAAAAAUAGCCCGCGGGCACAGCCGCGCCCAAAAAUAACCGCCCGAAGGCCGGGGCACCAAGUUCGUCCAGCGGAAAAAGGCCACAAAAACGGGUGGGCUAUUGCCUUGGGGGGUGGUGCUGGCCGACUUCGUCCGCCGGACUCGGAAUGGCGCGAGACUUUGCGAGGCGCCUCCAUGAGCCAAAAGUAGGCUACGGUCACAGCCGCGCCCAAAAAUAACCGCCCGAAGGCUGGGGCGCCAAGUUCGUCCAGCGGAAAAAGGCCACAAAAACGGGUGGGCUAUAGCCUUGGGGGGUGGGGCUGGUCAACUUCGUCCGCCGGACACGGAAUCGCGUGAGACUUUACGAGGCGCCUCCGUGUGCCAAAAAUAGGCCGCAGGCACAGCUGCACCCAAAAAUAGCUGCCCGAACGCCGGGGCGCCAAGUUCGUCCAGCGGAAAAAUGCCACAAAAACGGGUGGGCUAUAGCCUUGGGGGGUGGGGCUGGCCAACUUCGUCCGCCUGACUCGGAAUGGCGCGAGACUUUGCGAGGCACCUCCGUGUGCCAAAAAUAGCCCGCGGGCACAGCCCCGCCCAAAAUUAACCGCCCGAAGGCCGGGGCACCAAGUUCGUCCAGCGGAAAAAGGCCACAAAAACGGGUGGGCUAUAGCCUUGGGGGGUGGAGCUGGCCAACUUCGUCCGCCGGACACGGAAUGGUGCGAGACUU
rnacentral:lncRNA from 1 species